UUCAUUUGUCAAGUUUUUCUCUCUCUCUCUUCCCCUCCUCUCUCUCUCGUACGCUCUCACUCUUUCUCUUCACACUUUCAUCUCUCUUUCUCCUCCCCAUCUCAUCCUUCACCAUAACAUCCACACCACAGCCUCCACCACCAUCUACAAAUCAAUCACUCGUAAGAGUGAGGGAGUGGCCGAGUGAGAGAAGCCGGCGGGAGAGAAGUUCUGGCGAGGAGGAGGAGUUCCGGCCGAGAGAGUUCUUGUGGCCGUUUGUGGUGACACGGCGGUGCUUGGCAACGGCGGCAAUGAAGCUUCUUGCUCCUUCUUUCCUCUGGUUCGAUCUCAAAUUGUUGAAGCUAGAUGUGAGAGAAUUGGCGAUUCAAUUCGGUUGUGUUCGGAUUAUACCUUAUGUUCGUGACGGUCUUAAGCUGAUUAUAAUGCAAAGCUUUCUGAUUUUAGCCUGGCAAGGGAUGGUCCGAAUGACAACGGAAGCCACGUCUCCACCAGGAUAAUGGGAACCGAGGGAUAUGCAGAUCCCGAAUAUGUAGACUCGGGCCAUCUUACUACUAAUAGUGAUGUCUAUAGUUUUGGAGUUGUCCUGCUAGAAAUAUUAACUGGUGAGUUGGUACUUGACAUGACUAAAUAUGGAAGAGACAACUUGGUCUAUAAGAGGCAUACAAGGUAGCCACUCUUGCUUUGCAAUGCCUAUCAUUAGAAUCCAAGUUCAGGCCUAACAUGAAUGAAGUUGUUAGAACUUUGGAGAGGCUGCAAGUUCCUAAUUUGAAUGUAGGCAAUCUAAAGCAUGCUGAUGGACAAUCUCCAAACUUGGUAGAACUGACUGUCCUGCAGACAGACCAGGGAAUCCACCUUGCAUGAUUUGCUGGUGAUGUUGUCCAUGAUCACAGCUCAAAGUUGAUAAGAUUAAGCUAAUUGAACUCUGUGGUACAUCUGAAGCUGAAUUUUCCAGUGUAAGUGUUUUAUAUGUUUCUACUACUAUGAAAGAUUUGUGCCAUGAUGUUUUUGGGGUAGCUAAAGAAAAGAAAGAUCCUAAAGAAGUUAAGACCAAUAGAGAUUUGCUUGAUGUCUUACCAAGCAAAAGAAAAGCUGAGGACGGUAGCUAUUUG